UACGUAGGGUGCGAGCGUUAAUCGGAAUUAUUGGGCGUAAAGAGCUCGUAGGCGGCCUGUUACGUCUGCUGUGAAAUCCCGGGGCUUAACCCCGGGCGUGCAGUGGAUACGGGCAGGCUGGAGGCAGGCAGGGGAGAACGGAAUUCCCGGUGUAGCGGUGAAAUGCGCAGAUAUCGGGAGGAACACCAGUGGCGAAGGCGGUUCUCUGGGCCUGUACUGACGCUGAGGAGCGAAAGCGUGGGGAGCGAACAGG
rnacentral:rRNA from 1 species